rnacentral:rRNA from 1 species
GACGAACGCUGGCGGCGUGCUUAACACAUGCAAGUCGAACGGAAAGGCGAUGCUUUUGUUGGGUGCUCGAGUGGCGCACGGGUGAGUAACACGUGAGUAACCUGCCCUUGUCUUUGGGAUAACUUCUGGAAACUGGGGCUAAUACCGCAUAGGAGCUCCUGCUGCAUGUUGGGGGUUGGAAAGUGUCGGCGGUUGGGGCUGGACUCGCGGCUUAUCAGCUUGUUGGGCGAGUAGUGGCUUACCAGGGGUUUGACGGGUAGCCGGCCUGAGAGGGUGACCGGCGACCUUGGGACUGAGAUACGGCCCAGUCUCCUACGGGAGGCAGCAGUGGGGAAUAUUGCACAAUGGGCGGAAGCCUGAUGCAGCAGCGCCGCGUGCGGGAUGAAGGCUUUCGGGUUGAGAACAGCUGUCGCCUGUGACGAAGCGUGAGUGACGGUAAUGGGUAAAGAAGCACCGGCUAACUACGUG